UACGAAGGGGGCUAGCGUUGCUCGGAAUCACUGAGCGUAAAGGGUGCGUAGGCGGGUUUUUAAGUCAGAGGUGAAAUCCUGGAGCUCAACUCCAGAACUGCCUUUGAUACUGAAAGUCUUGAGUAUGGGAGAGGUGAGUGGAACUGCGAGUGUAGAGGUGAAAUUCGUAGAUAUUCGCAAGAACACCAGUGGCGAAGGCGGCUCACUGGCCCAUAACUGACGCUGAGGCACGAAAGCGUGGGGAGCAAACAGG
rnacentral:rRNA from 1 species